UUUUUCCUACGGGAGGCAGCAGUGGGGAAUAUUGGGCAAUGGGCGAAAGCCUGACCCAGCAACGCCGCGUGAAGGAAGAAGGCUUUCGGGUUGUAAACUUCUUUUAUGAGGGACGAAAGAAAUGACGGUACCUCAUGAAUAAGCCACGGCUAACUACGUGCCAGCAGCCGCGGUAAUGCGUAGGUGGCAAGCGUUAUCCGGAUUUACUGGGUGUAAAGGGCGUGUAGGCGGGACUGCAAGGCAGAUGUGAAAAUUAUGUGCUCAACCCAUAACCUGCAUUUGACACUGUAGUUCUUGAGUGAAGG
rnacentral:rRNA from 1 species